rnacentral:rRNA from 1 species
GUCCACGGCCACACCACCCUGAACGCGCCCAAUCCCGUCUGUUCUCGGGAGCUAAGCAGGGUCGGGCCUGGUUAGUGCUUGGAUGGGAGACCGCCUAGGAAGACCAGGUGCUGCAAACG